UACGUAGGGCGCAAGCGUUGUCCGGAAUUAUUGGGCGUAAAGAGCUCGUAGGUGGUUCGGUAAGUCGGGUGUUAAACCCCCAGGCUCAACCUGGGGACGCCACUCGAUACUGCUGUGACUAGAGUCCGGUAGGGGAGCGUGGAAUUCCUGGUGUAGCGGUGAAAUGCGCAGAUAUCAGGAGGAACACCAGCGGCGAAGGCGGCGCUCUGGGCCGGUACUGACACUGAGGAGCGAAAGCGUGGGUAGCAAACAGG
rnacentral:rRNA from 1 species